GUACGAGAAGGUCAGACGACAAGCAUGGAUAAUUGCAGUGCGCCGAGUCAAUGCUGAUGACACUCCCUGGGAGCCAUCCAAAAGCAUGCGAAUUUACAAAAACAAGCAGGCUUUGCGAAGCAAAGACAUCGAUAACGCUUGCCGUUGUUCGCUGACAGCUCCGCGCAAAUCAGAACGAACACAAACGUGUAAUUUACUAAUGCUCCAGCCAAGAAAUUUAGCAGCAAAAGGGGGAAGCACAAAAUGAGAGCAGCCGUGUGCGUGCACUCAGCCACCGAGGAAACUAACGGCAAUCGUCACCGUCCCUCCACAUCUCUGCAAGUAUGCAUGACCGCUUUGUGCCUGCAUCAUAUAGAAAUAAAGUGGCUAAACUUCUGAA